UCUUAAAAGUUUGGUCCUAGCUUUAAUGUCAACUACAAAUAAUAUUACACAUGCAAGCAUCUACCCACCAGUGACAACGCCCUUCUCAACAUAAGGAGCCAAUAUCAGGCACAACUAAAAAUUAGCCAAUAACAUUUAGCCCUAGCCACACCCUCAAGGGCCUGCAGCAGUGAUAAACAUUGAAAAAUAAGCACCAGCUUGAUUCAAUUAUAAUUAACUAGAGUUGGUUUAUCUUGUGCCAGCCACCGCGGUUAAACAAGAAACUCAAGUUGACCUAUAUCGGCGUAAAGUGUGAUUAAGGCUUACUCAAUAUAAUUAAGACUAAAAAUUUUCUAGGCUGUUAUACGCAUUAGUCCAAUAAUACACCCAUUAUUACGAAAGCAGUCUUAUAUAUUUAUGAUAAUUCCGAUUCUCACGAUAGCUGAAACACAAACUGGGAUUAGAUACCCCACUAUGCUCAGCCAUAAACUUAAAUUUACACUCCAUUACCGCCAGAGUAUUACGAGCUAUCGCUUAAAACUCAAAGGACUUGGCGGUGCCCUAAAUCCACCCAGAGGAGCCUGUCCUAUAAUCGAUAAUACACGUUAAACCUCACCACUACUUGUUCAAUCAGCCUAUAUACCACCGUCAUCAGCCAACCUUAUGAAAGUAUUAACGUUAGCAAGACCGAAUAUAUCAAAUAAGUCAGGUCAAGGUGUAGCAUAUGUAGUGGAAAGAGAUGGGCUACAUUCUCUUAUAAAGAAUAUACGAAUAGCCAAAUGAAAUUAUGCUUGAAGGCGGAUUUGGUAGUAAGAAGUGAUUAUAAAACCCCUCUUAAUAAGGCCCUAGGGCGCGCACACACCGCCCGUCACCCUCAUCAAACUAAAGUAAACAAAUUAAAUAAACAAUUAUAUUUAUUCUAGAUGAGGAUAAGUCGUAACAUGGUAAGCGUACUGGAAAGUGCUCUUGGAAUAAC
rnacentral:ncRNA from 1 species